AGAGAAGUAGCUCAGUGGUUAGAGCACAGCUCUUGUUGAGGGCCUGGGUUUGAUUCCCAGCAUCUGUA
rnacentral:tRNA from 1 species